rnacentral:misc_RNA from 3 species
CAACCCUCAAGCCCCGCUUGGUGAUGGGCCCCGCCUGCGGGCGGGCCCGAAACUCGUGGGCGUCGUCGUUCGGCUCCAAGCGUAGCAAAACCCUCGCUUGGGCGCCCGGACGGAGGCCGCCCGGAACGAAUUUUUACAA